rnacentral:rRNA from 1 species
UACGAAGGGGGCGAGCGUUGUUCGGAAUUACUGGGCGUAAAGGGCGCGCAGGCGGUUCUUCAAGUCAGAUGUGAAAGCCCCGGGCUCAACCUGGGAAUGGCAUUUGGGACUGCAAGGCUUGAGUGCGGCAGAGGAGACUGGAAUUCCUGGUGUAGCAGUGAAAUGCGUAGAGAUCAGGAGGAAUACCGAUGGCGAAGGCAGGGCCCUGGGCUGACACUGACGCUCAUGCACGAAAGCGUGGGGAGCAAACAGG